rnacentral:rRNA from 1 species
GAUCAUGGCUCAGAUUGAACGCUGGCGGAAUGCUUUACACAUGCAAGUCGAACGGUAGAGGGGGCAACCCUUGAGAGUGGCGAACGGGUGAGUAAUAUAUCGGAACGUGCCCAGUCGUGGGGGAUAACGUAGCGAAAGUUACGCUAAUACCGCAUACGAUCUACGGAUGAAAGCGGGGGACUCGCAAGAGCCUCGCGCGAUUGGAGCGGCCGAUAUCAGAUUAGGUAGUUGGUGGGGUAAAGGCUCACCAAGCCAACGAUCUGUAGCUGGUCUGAGAGGACGACCAGCCACACUGGAACUGAGACACGGUCCAGACUCCUACGGGAGGCAGCAGUGGGGAAUUUUGGACAAUGGACGCAAGUCUGAUCCAGCCAUUCCGCGUGCAGGAUGAAGGCCCUCGGGUUGUAAACUGCCUUUGUACGGAACGAAAAGGUUUCUAUUAAUACUAGGAGCUCAUGACGGUACCGUAAGAAUAAGCACCGGCUAACUACGUG